GACAGAGGGUGCAAACGUUGCUCGGAAUCACUGGGCGUAAAGGGCGUGUAGGCGGGAAGGAAAGUCAGAUGUGAAAUCCCUGGGCUCAACCCAGGAACUGCAUUUGAAACUCCCUUUCUUGAGUACCGGAGAGGAAGGUGGAAUUCCUGGUGUAGAGGUGAAAUUCGUAGAUAUCAGGAGGAACACCAGUGGCGAAGGCGGCCUUCUGGACGGUAACUGACGCUGAGACGCGAAAGCGUGGGGAGCAAACAGGAUUAGAAACCCCCGUAGUCC
rnacentral:rRNA from 1 species